CGUAGGGUGCGAGCGUUAAUCGGAAUUACUGGGCGUAAAGUGUGCGCAGGCCGCCGAGCAAGCCGAGUGUGAAAGCCCCGAGCUUAACUUGGGAACUGCGCUCGAAACUACUUGGCUAGAGUGUGGCAGAGGGAGGUGGAAUUCCACGUGUAGCGGUGAAAUGCGUAGAGAUGUGGAGGAACACCGAUGGCGAAGGCAGCCUCCUGGGCCAACACUGACGCUCAUGCACGAAAGCGUGGGGAGCAAACAGGAUUAGAUACCCUGGUAGUCCACGCCCUAAACGAUGAUGACUAGUUGUUGGAGGAGUUAAAUCCUUUAGUAACGCAGCUAACGCGUGAAGUCAUCCGCCUGGGGAGUACGGUCGCAAGAUUA
rnacentral:rRNA from 1 species